AGAUCAUUGUGGGGGCAGUUCCUCAACAAGCCUUUGUAUCUUUCCCAUGCCUCAUAGAGUGAUUUGCCUACUUAUUGCUCGAAAUUUGCAAUGUCUUUCUUCAACUU